UCCCUCUGUGUAGUUUACAGCCCAAGGCC
rnacentral:piRNA from 1 species